rnacentral:rRNA from 1 species
CGGCAACAGCUCAAAUUUGAAAUCUGGCGUCUUCGGCGUCCGAGUUGUAAUUUGCAGAGGGCGCUUUGGCAUUGGCAGCGGUCCAAGUUCCUUGGAACAGGACGUCACAGAGGGUGAGAAUCCCGUAUGUGACUGGCUGCCUUCGCCUAUGUGAAGCUCUUUCGAC